rnacentral:misc_RNA from 1 species
CCUGAGUUUACAACUCUCCAACCCUGUGUAACAUGACCAGCUUGGUUGCCUCGGCAGGAGGUCAGGGGCCCGCAGCCUCGUACGACGGCGCCUGCCAGGAGGAUACCCUAAACUCGUUUUCUAUCAGUGAUACUUCUGAGUAAAAACCAUAAAUAAUCA